GAUAAAAUGGCUGAGCGACAAGCGAUAAAUUGUAAAUUUAUUUACGAAUUAGAUUCUUUUAUCA
rnacentral:tRNA from 1 species